rnacentral:rRNA from 1 species
GAUGAACGCUGGCGGCGCGCCUAACACAUGCAAGUCGAACGAUUAAAGCACCUUCGGGUGUGUAUAAGUGGCGAACGGCUGAGUAACACGUGGGCAAACUGCCCCUUUCAUUGGGAUAGCCACGGGAAACCGUGGAUAAUACCGAAUACUUCGAGACUUCCGCAUGGAAGACUCGAGAAAGCUCCGGCGGAGAGGGAUGGGCCCGCGGCCUGUUAGCUUGUUGGUGGGGUAACGGCCUACCAAGGCAAUGAUGGGUAGCUGGGUUGAGAGACCGACCAGCCAGAUUGGGACUGAGACACGGCCCAGACUCCUACGGGAGGCAGCAGUGGGGAAUCUUGCACAAUGGGCGAAAGCCUGAUGCAGCGACGCCGCGUGCGGGAUGAAGGCCUUCGGGUUGUAAACCGCUUUCAGCAGGGACGAGGCGAAAGUGACGGUACCUGCAGAAGAAGCCCCGGCUAACUACGUG